UACGUAGGGCGCAAGCGUUGUCCGGAAUUAUUGGGCGUAAAGAGCUCGUAGGCGGUUUGUCGCGUCUGCUGUGAAAACUCGAGGCUCAACCUCGGGCUUGCAGUGGGUACGGGCAGACUAGAGUGCGGUAGGGGUGACUGGAAUUCCUGGUGUAGCGGUGGAAUGCGCAGAUAUCAGGAGGAACACCGAAUGGCGAAGGCAGGUCACUGGGCCGCAACUGACGCU
rnacentral:rRNA from 1 species